rnacentral:rRNA from 1 species
UACGUAGGAUGCAAGCGUUGUCCGGAUUUACUGGGCGUAAAGCGCGCGCAGGCGGCAGGUUAAGUAAGGUGUGAAAUCUCCCUGCUCAACGGGGAGGGUGCACUUUAGACUGACCAGCUAGAGGGCGGUAGAGGGUGGUGGAAUUGCUGGUGUAGCGGUGAAAUGCGUAGAGAUCAGCAGGAACACCCGUGGCGAAGGCGGCCACCUGGGCCGUACCUGACGCUGAGGCGCGAAGGCUAGGGGAGCGAGCGGG